GGUCCCAUCGUCUAACGGUUAGGACGCCAGGUUUUCAUCCUGGUAAUAGGGGUUCAAUUCCCCUUGGGACUA
rnacentral:tRNA from 1 species